rnacentral:tRNA from 1 species
GCCCUUGUAGCUCAAUGGAUAGAGCAAGUCCGUCCUAAGGACGAGAUGGGGGUUCGAUUCCCUCCAAGGGCA